AGACGUAGGGGGCGAGCGUUGUCCGGAAUUACUGGGCGUAAAGGGCGCGCAGGCGGCGUGUCAAGUCGGACGUGAAAACCCCUGGCUCAACUGGGGGAGGUCGUUCGAAACUGGCAUGCUUGAGUGCAGGAGAGGGAAGCGGAAUUCCCGGUGUAGCGGUGAGAUGCGUAGAUAUCGGGAGGAACACCAGUGGCGAAGGCGGCUUCCUGGACUGUAACUGACGCUGAGGCGCGAAAGCUGGGGGAGCGAACAGGAUUAGAUACCCUGGUAGUCCCAGCCAUAAACGAUGAACACUAGGUGUGGGAGGUAUCGACCCCUCCCGUGCCGCAGCUAACGCAUUAAGUGUUCCGCCUGGGGAGUACGGCCGCAAGGCUAAA
rnacentral:rRNA from 1 species